GCAGGAUUUAGAUACUUCACUGUGGAGUAAUGAGAAAAAUUCGUUUCUCGGCCUGCCUUCGUCAACCGCAGAAUCUUCCUACACAUGUACGUACCAUAUGUACGAUAACAUAUGUACGUACCUUCUCAGCAGCAGAGAUUGAUGGAGAACUAUUUCUAACAUUGACUAGAGAAGAGUUUAGUGACAUGUUUAAGAAUCUUGGACAAAAGCGUACUGCUAUUGCAGUUUGUUCGAAACUUUCUGGCAUGGUGUUUGAUUCCAAUGGAAAUCCCAUGCCUCAACAGAAAAAAAGCUCUGAUUCAUCUACUUCUGCCUCAUGUACUAUUUUCCAAGAAUUGCAUGAAGUCAUUAUUUCACACUCUCCAGAAUUGAAAAAAAGAAAAAAGCACCAGGUUAUAAGCUCUUCGGACAUAUCUGAUAAAAAAUAAAUUUACUUGUCUUUUACUACUUUUAAAUGAGAGCUUUCUUUUAUAGGGAUCUAUUGAGAUGAAAAUCUAUAACCGAUUCAAAAAUUGCAAAGAAAGAAAUCUAACACGCCUGUUACCAAUGUCUCGCAAACUAAAGGCAAAACAACAAAGAAAAGGAACAGUCACUGUUGGACGAACGUUCCCGAGCCAUGCGAAAUAUGAAGAUCUUACAGCAGUGAUAUCAAAAAUAAAAAAGGAGUGGCAGUCAGCUAAAAAGGAUCAUGAAAAAAUUCAGGAGUUGAUGGCUGCAUGCUAUGCUUCAAGGAGAUCACUUGUCUUGGAAGACGUCAGAAGAAUAGUGGAAGUUGUUGAAAUGUUCUCUCCUUUAAAAAAUCUGCUAUACAUCAAGGCUGAAUUUGCAAAAGUUAUGGGGAAUAAAGACGUAGCUACACAGGUAAAGGAAAACUUCAACAAAGUCUGGCGUCACAGGUUGUUGCAAUUUGCUGAGAAAAACGAUGGUAAACAUUCAG